rnacentral:rRNA from 1 species
UACGUAGGGGGCAAGCGUUGUCCGGAAUUACUGGGCGUAAAGCGCACGUAGGCGGCUUGGUAUGUCGGGUGUGAAAUCCCCGGGCUCAACCUGGGAACUGCAUCCGAAACUGCCUUGCUCGAGUAUGGGAGAGGGAAGUGGAAUUUCCGGUGUAGCGGUGAAAUGCGUAGAUAUCGGAAGGAACAUCAGUGGCGAAGGCGACUUCCUGGACCAAUACUGACGCUCAGGUGCGAAAGCGUGGGGAGCAAACAGG